rnacentral:pre_miRNA from 1 species
CGAGGCGGGCGGAUCACGAGGUCAGGAGAUCGAGACCAUNAUGGUCUCGAUCUCCUGACCUCGUGAUCCGCCCGUCUCG